CACACACAUACAAAUAGAUACACAUGCUUUGCAAACGAAUGAAACAAAUAAUUUAGCACGUACAUAUCAUAUCAAGAAAAUAAUAGAGGAACAAAUAAGCUGGAUUCGGGCCAGCAAAUAUUGAUACUUGAAUAGAUUCUAACCAAGAAGAGUGUAGUGUAGGUAAUCGAACGAACAUAUAAGAGCUCUCGAUCCCUUAAAGAGGUAUACGGAAUUGAAUAUUUAAAAAGAAGUUUACUCGGUUUCAGUACCGCCCUCGUUCUCAGAGUCCUCCUUAAGGGGUUGAAGGACGAUGAUCAAAUCCUUGGGAUCCAUGUCUUCAUAGGAAAUGUUAUAAACGGCAGUGAACAAGGGGAAAUCCUUGACCAUAUCCUUGGUGAGAAGGAAUUCAUGAACAUCCUUGGAAGUGGCAGCUCCUUGAAGAAGUUGACCACCUAAGAGCUCUUUUUCAAGCGUCUCUAAAGAUUUACCAGUCUUGACAAAUGCUUCAGCACAACGAUUGUUACGGCCACCCAAACAAGAAGUGACCAAGUCAGCGAUACCGCAAGAUUGCUCAACCAUGGUACGAGGAUCAGAGUCGAAGAAGGUAGUAGCAAACUUUUGCAUCUCCAACAAACCACGACGCAUAAUAGCGGCCUUGGUAUUACCGCCCCAUUCCAAACCAUCAGCGAAACCAACGGCCAUGGCAACUACGUUCUUCAAAGCACCACCCAAGGCGACACCGGCAACGUCGUCAACGGAGACAACUGAGAAGUAAGGGCGAUCAAAGACGGCGGCGAUUUGCUCGCGAGGGAUAUCAACUUCAUUAGGAGGGUUGAAACCAAUAGUAGUCUCACAGAAUUGCUCACGGGCAACUUCGUUUGCAACGUUAGCACCAGAAAGAACACCACAGUAAAUACCGAGUUUCUCGCUGAUAACCUCAGAGUAAAGGCGGACGCCUUCCUUGCUGACAGCAACACCCUUGAUACAGGAAAUACCAACGGCACCAGGGCGAAUGAGACCGACCAUUUGGUCGCAAACGCGUUCAAUAAAUUGAUGAGGAACGACAAAGACAAGGAUGUCGGCACGUCUAGCGACCUCACGAACAUCGGGGACGGCAAUAACGUUGGGAGGGCAUUCGAUGCCGGGUAAGUAUUUGACAUUCUCGUGAGCUUCGUUGAAUACUUCGGUGAGCUUUCUCUUCUCACCCUUGUACUCAAUCUCCUCCUCAAAGACCCACAUGCGGACCUUACUUCUGAAAUGGUGACCGUGGGCACGGGCAUUUUCACCGCAAAUCUUGGCAAUGGCAGUACCCCAGUUACCGGAGCCAACUACACCAAUUGACA